rnacentral:misc_RNA from 1 species
GAAAUGCGAUAAUUAAUGUGAAUUGCAGAAUUCAGUGAAUCAUCGAGUCUUUGAACGCACAUUGCGCCCCCUGGUAUUCCGGGGGGCAUGCCUGUCCGAGCGUCAUUGCCGCCCUCAAGCACGGCUUGUGUGUUGGGCUUCCGUCCCUGGCAACGGGGACGGGCCCAAAAGGCAGUGGCGGCACCAUGUCUGGUCCUCGAGCGUAUGGGGCUUUGUCACCCGCUCCCGUAGGUCCAGCUGGCAGCUAGCCUCGCAACCAAUCUUUUUAACCAGGUUGACCUCGGAUCAGGUAGGGAUACCCGCUGAACUUAAGC